rnacentral:rRNA from 1 species
CCCUUAGACGUUCUGGGCCGCGCGCGCGCUACACUGACGAAGGCAACGAGCUUUCCUUUACCGAAAGGUACGGGUAAUCUUUUGAAACUUCGUCGUGCUGGGGAUAGAUCCUUGCAAUUUUUGAUCUUAAACGAGGAAUGCCUAGUAAGCGCAAGUCAUCAACUUGCGUUGAUUACGUCCCUGCCCUUUGUACACACCGCCCGUCGCUACUACCGAUUGAAUGGUUUAGUGAGGCCUUCGGAUCCGCGACUCGUUUGUGGAGAAGUUGGACAAACUCAGUCAUUUAGAGGAAGUAAAAGUCGUAACA